UAACAUCAAACUUGUUAUUCAAGUCACGAC
rnacentral:piRNA from 1 species